GCAGCCUCCUGUUGGUCUAGGAGUGCUCAGAGACUGAAAUAGGGCAAGAGAGCAGCAAGGCUGGGGAAUGAGUCUGAUAUGCCCCAACGCUGAACACAGCCUUCUCUGCCUUGGCUUCAGGCUUAAAGAGUGGCCAGGGACCCCAGGCUGGGACAUUGAGUAGGCACUGCCUUCAUACGGAAGACUGAAUAUAUAGAUGGCCAUUAAAAUAAUUGUUCAAAAUGAUAAACUCGUUUACCAGGCUACCAAGAUAAAUCUGCUCCUGGGAAUUGCAUUUUGGUGUGCCUGGGAGCAGUCACGUGCUGGAGAGUUGAAAGGGGUAUUGAUCAGGAUCUGUGAGCUGCAGACCCCAUGCCAAUCCAGAGCGUUUCUGGCAAUCAGUGUCGCCCAUGAAUUGCAGCUGUCUGUGUGGCUCCCGAAAAGAAAUCUUCAGAAAAGUCCCCCCCUUAUCAAACACUUCAUCCAUUCAGGGGUAAGUCAAUAUCAUUUCUUUGUCAUUUCGUGGAGGAGGAUUAUGCAGGAGAAAGUUUUUGUUGUCGGUUGUAGCUGCUGCUGAGCCUUUUUUUUUUUUUUUUUUAAAGGAAGGAGAGCAAUUUUCUAGCCAUUGAAUGGUAAUGGUUUUCCAGAAAGGCCUCAAGCGUUUGUAUGAAUCGUACAACAAAUGCUGUUUCAAUAUUGUGGGGGAAUUUUAAGGGGGGGGGGGAAUUCUCAUGUUGCUAUACACAAAUAAUAGUAGUGAUAAUAGAGGGUUUCUUUUAACAACGGAGAAAUUUCUCCCCCUUUUCCCGGAGCCUCUAGUGAUGAAAACACCGCAAGUCUCUGUGAUUACACUUGCAGAUGGACGGUGGGUGCUUGUGGAGGAAAGGGAGCCUUCGGAAUUGUGGCUCUGUUUGAUAUCUCCAUUAGCUUCAAUUUUAUUCUGCCUGAAAGCUCAGGCUGGUUGAACACAAGGAGAAGAACACUAAAACCGAAGCCCGGCACCAUUGACCCUCUUCCGCCUCUCAGCUCAGAAAUUCUCUGACACUUCGCGGAUUCCAUUCGAAUCCAGGAAAGUUGUUGUUGAAGUGUUUUAGGUGGGGAGGUCCCAUGGGUCCUUUUUCGUGAACUCGCUUCUCCUCUGCGUCAAUCUGGUUAAAAUCCGAAAAGCCAGUUUAGUUAGGAGCUGUCAGGGACGGCCCUUAACUUUUCGGGUGACAGAGUGCGCCAGGACGGAGGAUCAUUUGGAGUGUGUUAGUGUUCUUCCCACCUUCCGCUGGUCUCUUAGGAAAAGAAGAAUGAAGCUGCUCUGUCAGCUGGGGGAGGCUUCUCUCACAGCCCCAAGCACCACCUGGGUUUGCAGGUGGGGAGUAGGGCUGCGGGGCGAACCCAGCGAAACCCACCCGAGCCUCAGUAGUCCCGGCGCGGGCAGUGGGCGGGCUUGAGGGCGGGGAGAAGGAGGAGACCCCGAGCCAGAAGAGCGGUCGCACCUGCUCCUGGGGCGACGAGUCUGGAGAGGCAGCGGCCGAAUCCUCAGCUCCGCAGAGCUAAGUAGCAAGCGGGUCCUCCUGCCUAGUUUUAAAGAAAGCCAGAGACUAGGUCGGCGAACCUUGAUCGUUCCCCCUCCAUGCCCACAGACAAGGAAAUUGUUGGAGUUACUGUGCCCUCAGGAAUGGACACACACACACACACACACACUUCUGUCCCUCUCCAUUCCGGUUCUGGCUUGGUUCCCCGACCCCCUCGCGGGAGGAGUUUGGGUGGAAAUCAGAGCCUGGGCCUCUGAUCCGGACUGGAGGUGACCGUGGUUGAGUGCUGGGGUUGCAGACCUUGCCCAGGACAUUUUCCUUCUCUGGAAUUCGCGGCCCACCACAGAACCUUCUUUGGGGCCACCCUCUGGUUCUGUUUUCGCGGCUGCUACCACUGUAGAAGCUCGUGGCAGAAAUAAUUUGACUGUUGGGGAAAAUGAAAUUCAAAAAAGUGAAGGGGAAUUUGAGCAUUUGGAACAGCAGCGAUCAGAGAGCUUCUUUUUCUGGGGGAAGGGGACGGUGGGAAGGCUGGGGUGGGGGGAGCCUGCACGACGACCCUCAACCGGAAUACAGCUUUUUCUGUAAAAGAACGUUGCACUUUGAGAAAGCAACUUGUUAGCCUGAGAACGAGAUGAGUUUUAUCGCCGCGGCCUUUAGUACCUGUUCCAUUAUUUCUCUCCACCAAAGCCCUGGAGCACCGGUUUUGAGCCACGUGAAUCUGCAGUCGCAUUUUCUUUUAAAUGGGUUUCCAAAAGUACAGUUUUGGGUUUCCAAAAAUACAAUUCAUGUAUGCUUAAAAUAAAGUUUUCCUCUCCUCCAGUUGUCACCCCACAAAAGAAAAACUGGCGUGAGGUCCUUUUGUUCAGGUUAAGUUGUGCGUGAAAUCUUUUUUGUUGUCCUUUCAAAGGGAAGGCAAAAGUUGCAGUUGAUUGUAAAAAGGACAAAUUUAACUCUCUGAAAGUAGAACUGUUUUCAAGUUACCCUGAGACACUAAACACGGGCAUUGCCUUUUAUUUAUUACCGUCUUAAAACGAUCAUUUAUUUGCUCUGGACAUAGCCACUUUUGAUUGAGGAUUCAAUAUUGUUUAGGUAUUAAUACAAAUAUCCACCACGUUUACUCUCUAUGAAAAUGGGAGAGUUUAAAGAUCUUUUUCUGUAAUUUUAAUUGUCUCCCUACGAUGUAAUUAAAAAAAGAUGACAGAGUACCGAAAAAAGAAAGAGUUGGCCGG
rnacentral:lncRNA from 1 species